rnacentral:rRNA from 1 species
AUUGAACGCUGGCGGCAGGCCUAACACAUGCAAGUCGAGCGGCUGAAGGGUGCUUGCUCCUGGUUUCAGCGGCGGACGGGUGAGUAAUGCCUAGGAAUCUGCCUGGUUGUGGUGUAUAACGUCCUGAAACGGGCGCUAAUACCGCAUACGUCCUGAGGGCGAACGUGGGGGAUCUUCGGACCUCCCGCUAUCAGAUGAUCCUAGGUCGGAUUAGCUAGUUGGGGGGGUAAAGGCCUACCAAGGCGACGAUCCGUAACUGGUCUGAGAGGAUGACCAGUCACACUGGAACUGAGACACGGUCCAGACUCCUACGAGAGGCAGCAGUGGGGAAUAUUGGAAAAUGGGCGAAAGUCUGAUACAGCCAUGCCGCGUGUGUGAAGAAGGUCUUCGGAUUGUAAAGCACUUUAAGUUGGGAGGAAGGGCAGUAAGUUAAUACCGUGCUGUUGUGACGUUACCAACAGAAUAAGCACCGGCUAACUGCG